AACUCUAGCGGAACUGCCAGCGUAAGCUGUGAGGAAGCGGGGAUGACGUCAAAUCAGCACGGCCCUUACGUCCAGGGCUACACACGUGUUACAAUGGCCGGUACAGAGGGCAGCCACCCCGCGAGGGGGCGCGAAUCCCGAAAGCCGGUCGCAGUUCGGAUCGGAGUCUGGAACCCGACUCCGUGAAGCUGGAUUCGCUAGUAAUCGCGCAUCAGCCAUGGCGCGGUGAAUACGUUCCCGGGCCUU
rnacentral:rRNA from 1 species